UCGGGGUGGACGCUCGUGGAACGAGCGGCGGACGGGUGAGUAACACGUGGGCAACCUACCUGUGAGACGGGGAUAACUCCGGGAAACCGGGGCUAAUACCGGAUAACGCAUCGAACCGCAUGGUUCGAUGAUCAAAGAUGGCUUCUCGCUAUCACUCACAGAUGGGCCCGCGGCGCAUUAGUUAGUUGGUGAGGUAACGGCUCACCAAGGCGACGAUGCGUAGCCGACCUGAGAGGGUGAUCGGCCACACUGGGACUGAGACACGGCCCAGACUCCUACGGGAGGCAGCAGUAGGGAAUCAUCCGCAAUGGACGCAAGUCUGACGGUGCAACGCCGCGUGAGCGAUGAAGGUCUUCGGAUCGUAAAGCUCUGUUGUGAGGGAAGAACAAGUGCCGUUCGAAUAGGGCGGCACCUUGACGGUACCUCACCAGAAAGCCCCGGCUAACUACGUGCCAGCAGCCGCGGUAAUACGUAGGGGGCAAGCGUUGUCCGGAAUUAUUGGGCGUAAAGCGCGCGCA
rnacentral:rRNA from 1 species